ACUUAAAUUGAAGAGUUUGAUCAUGGCUCAGAUUGAACGCUGGCGGCAGGCCUAACACAUGCAAGUCGAGCGGUAGCACAGAGAGCUUGCUCUCGGGUGACGAGCGGCGGACGGGUGAGUAAUGUCUGGGAAACUGCCUGAUGGAGGGGGAUAACUACUGGAAACGGUAGCUAAUACCGCAUAACGUCGCAAGACCAAAGUGGGGGACCUUCGGGCCUCAUGCCAUCAGAUGUGCCCAGAUGGGAUUAGCUAGUAGGUGGGGUAAUGGCUCACCUAGGCGACGAUCCCUAGCUGGUCUGAGAGGAUGACCAGCCACACUGGAACUGAGACACGGUCCAGACUCCUACGGGAGGCAGCAGUGGGGAAUAUUGCACAAUGGGCGCAAGCCUGAUGCAGCCAUGCCGCGUGUAUGAAGAAGGCCUUCGGGUUGUAAAGUACUUUCAGCGAGGAGGAAGGCGUUAAGGUUAAUAACCUUAGCGAUUGACGUUACUCGCAGAAGAAGCACCGGCUAACUCCGUGCCAGCAGCCGCGGUAAUACGGAGGGUGCAAGCGUUAAUCGGAAUUACUGGGCGUAAAGCGCACGCAGGCGGUCUGUCAAGUCGGAUGUGAAAUCCCCGGGCUCAACCUGGGAACUGCAUUCGAAACUGGCAGGCUAGAGUCUUGUAGAGGGGGGUAGAAUUCCAGGUGUAGCGGUGAAAUGCGUAGAGAUCUGGAGGAAUACCGGUGGCGAAGGCGGCCCCCUGGACAAAGACUGACGCUCAGGUGCGAAAGCGUGGGGAGCAAACAGGAUUAGAUACCCUGGUAGUCCACGCCGUAAACGAUGUCGACUUGGAGGUUGUGCCCUUGAGGCGUGGCUUCCGGAGCUAACGCGUUAAGUCGACCGCCUGGGGAGUACGGCCGCAAGGUUAAAACUCAAAUGAAUUGACGGGGGCCCGCACAAGCGGUGGAGCAUGUGGUUUAAUUCGAUGCAACGCGAAGAACCUUACCUACUCUUGACAUCCAGAGAACUUAGCAGAGAUGCUUUGGUGCCUUCGGGAACUCUGAGACAGGUGCUGCAUGGCUGUCGUCAGCUCGUGUUGUGAAAUGUUGGGUUAAGUCCCGCAACGAGCGCAACCCUUAUCCUUUGUUGCCAGCGGUCCGGCCGGGAACUCAAAGGAGACUGCCAGUGAUAAACUGGAGGAAGGUGGGGAUGACGUCAAGUCAUCAUGGCCCUUACGAGUAGGGCUACACACGUGCUACAAUGGCAUAUACAAAGAGAAGCGACCUCGCGAGAGCAAGCGGACCUCAUAAAGUAUGUCGUAGUCCGGAUUGGAGUCUGCAACUCGACUCCAUGAAGUCGGAAUCGCUAGUAAUCGUAGAUCAGAAUGCUACGGUGAAUACGUUCCCGGGCCUUGUACACACCGCCCGUCACACCAUGGGAGUGGGUUGCAAAAGAAGUAGGUAGCUUAACCUUCGGGAGGGCGCUUACCACUUUGUGAUUCAUGACUGGGGUGAAGUCGUAACAAGGUAACCGUAGGGGAACCUGCGGUUGGAUCACCUCCUUACCUUAAAGAA
rnacentral:rRNA from 1 species